UUGCCUUUUGCUGGUUACUGGCCUGAGAACUAUUCAGAAGAAUGGGAGACCAGAACUUGAGCACCCCACAAACUGGUUGCAAUACUGCAGGUGAAAAGGACCAGCCUGUGAAAUCCUUGGCUUUGAGAACAGAAGGUGGACAGUGGCAGAACUUCUUCCAAGUCCCAAGAUGGGGAGAAACGGCUAACCAAUGUGACUUAUGGAAAAUGAGACCUUGCAACAUGCAAAGGAUUAUGAGGUAAGGCUGUUUAAUCAGCACUGGGUGACAAGGGGAGGCCCUCCUCCAAAGCCCUUGCACUUCAUCUUGUUCAGGUAAAACAUUUAUGCUACA